CGCUCAUUGCCGGCUAAAACUAAUGCCGGCUUGUUUAUUUUAUUGCGCCAUGGCAUUUACUUAUUGUGAGCGCCACCGCAACAAAACUUCGAAAUUAGCAAGUUUAUCGCAGAAAAUUUCGAUGUGCGGGAUUUCGGUUCUUGCCAAUCUAUUUUCUUUUACCUACAUAAAAAUGGAACUAUGAAAAAUCUUCGUUUUUCUGUGAAAACUCAUGUGUGGACCUGAGGAACUAAUCAGAUUACCCUCGGGACGCAUAUUCAAUGUUUUUGGUGUCUCAUUGACUUGGUGGUGUCUCAAUUACCAUGUGGUGUCUCAGCUAUCACCGUUAAUGCAGGUAUACGUGUAUAUGUACCCACGCUUCAUUCAAUGAAGCGCUGUCGGCGCCACAUAAUCUGCAUCAUCUUGUGUGUGUGUGUGCCCAUUUGUCUUCUUCUCAUUCACACACAUACUUGCUUGCAUUACUCUACUCCGAUUAGAGUUUCGUUAACGCAGCAUGUGUGCAUUCACCACAUGCAUACCAUUGAACCUACGGACGAUGGUCGUUUCAUUCACACACAUACCUGCUUACAUUACUCUACUACAAUUAGAGUUUCGUAAACGCAACAUGUAUGUAUUCAAUGAAUGAACGGUUUUUGGCGAACGCAUUUGACUGAGGUUAUGAAUGGAUUUCAUCUACUAUCAACGCAUUAUUUGAAUCAAUUGGGACAUUGGAAAACAAGUGAACACAAAAAGCAUACUGCUCAUCACGGUAUACCAUAGGGGCACACAGGUAUUUUCCGUUCGAGGUCAUAUUGGACGCAAACAUGUCAUUUAUGGUUCUUGUUACUUUGUGCCCAAAUUAUCUGCACAGCUUGGACCGAUAACUCAAUGAGGUGACGUACAGGUACCCCAACGAUACGCCACGAACCUUUCAACAUAGAUCACAUCUCCUGAUGCAGAUAUUUAUGAUCGCUUUAUAAGGGUAUCAUUUUGGAUUUCCCAGAUGGAUGCAGUAUACCAUUUAAUUUUGGAAUAUAAAUUUAAUAGAGGAAUACAAAUUUAUAUAUCCUUUUUGCCUGAUAUUUGGGAUAGGUAUUUUUUUGUUUGGUAACAGCAGUAUAUGGACAGUUAACGGCGUCACCCCCUUGGAGUAGGAACAUACCUUGCGAAAAACAGCGCAAUAUUUUUAUACCUGAGGAUUGUCAACUAUUUCUCAUUCUUGAAACACAUCGUGGAAAAAGUUUUACCAACCCAAAUAGAUGUUUAACGGUCGCCUCACACCCGUCGAUAAAGCGCUACGGUGCCGGUUCCACUUAACAUGAGGUAACUAUUAAAAAAUUUUUUUUUUUUUAUCUUCGUUACCUGGUUGGCCAGAUACUUAAUUGGCUUGUGGGAACUUAUGUCGGCGGAAAUUAUAUGGCUCUUUUCUGGCACAACGGACACUGUCGCAUCAAUCUGCUGGCUUUCUGCAACUUAGAUGUCGAAACAAAUUUUUCUAUGGCAUAUGGCUGGUUUAAACAAGGCGACCUUCCGCGUAAACCGUUGGAAGGCCUCGCAAUGGCUCGCAAUCUGAUGGAAUCUUAAAUGGAAGGGACACAACACUUGUUACGACCAACAUUAGACAACACCACAAUUUAAACUUACAUCUAUGAUUUUUAUUCAUCCAAUAUAAAAAUAAAUGCAAGGCACGCAGCCGUAUAAACCCGUCAAUAAAACUUAAUUUUGUACCGUUGUUAAAUGCCGACUUUUUCCAAAUUGUCGAUUUUGGCAAACGAAAUAAAAA